rnacentral:rRNA from 1 species
UCAAGUGAAGAAGCGCAUACGGUGGAUGCCUUGGCAGUCAGAGGCGAUGAAAGACGUGGUAGCCUGCGAUAAGCUUUGGGGAGUCGGCAAACAGACUGUGAUCCAGAGAUCUCUGAAUGGGGGAACCCACUCAGCAUAAGCUGAGUAUCUUGUACUGAAUACAUAGGUGCAAGAGGCGAACCAGGGGAACUGAAACAUCUAAGUACCCUGAGGAAAAGAAAUCAACCGAGAUUCCCUUAGUAGUGGCGAGCGAACGGGGACCAGCCCUUAAGUUGAUUUGAGAUUAGUGGAACGCUCUGGAAAGUGCGGCCAUAGUGGGUGAUAGCCCCGUACACGAAAAUCUCUUAUCAAUGAAAUCGAGUAGGACGGAGCACGAGAAACUUUGUCUGAAUAUGGGGGGACCAUCCUCCAAGGCUAAAUACUACUGACUGACCGAUAGUGAACCAGUACCGUGAGGGAAAGGCGAAAAGAACCCCGGAGAGGGGAGUGAAAUAGAACCUGAAACCGUAUGCGUACAAGCAGUGGGAGCCUACUUUGUUAGGUGACUGCGUACCUUUUGUAUAAUGGGUCAGCGACUUAUAUUCAGUGGCGAGCUUAACCGAAUAGGGGAGGCGUAGCGAAAGCGAGUCUUAAUAGGGCGUUUAGUCGCUGGGUAUAGACCCGAAACCGGGCGAUCUAUCCAUGGGCAGGUUGAAGGUUAGGUAACACUGACUGGAGGACCGAACCGACUACCGUUGAAAAGUUAGCGGAUGACCUGUGGAUCGGAGUGAAAGGCUAAUCAAGCUCGGAGAUAGCUGGUUCUCCUCGAAAGCUAUUUAGGUAGCGCCUCAUGUAUCACUGUAGGGGGUAGAGCACUGUUUCGGCUAGGGGGUCAUCCCGACUUACCAAACCGAUGCAAACUCCGAAUACCUACAAGUGCCGAGCAUGGGAGACACACGGCGGGUGCUAACGUCCGUCGUGAAAAGGGAAACAACCCAGACCGUCAGCUAAGGUCCCAAAGUCAUGGUUAAGUGGGAAACGAUGUGGGAAGGCUUAGACAGCUAGGAGGUUGGCUUAGAAGCAGCCACCCUUUAAAGAAAGCGUAAUAGCUCACUAGUCGAGUCGGCCUGCGCGGAAGAUGUAACGGGGCUCAAACCAUGCACCGAAGCUACGGGUAUCAUCGUAUGAUGAUGCGGUAGAGGAGCGUUCUGUAAGCCUGUGAAGGUGAGUUGAGAAGCUUGCUGGAGGUAUCAGAAGUGCGAAUGCUGACAUGAGUAACGACAAUGCGAGUGAAAAACUCGCACGCCGAAAGACCAAGGUUUCCUGCGCAACGUUAAUCGACGCAGGGUUAGUCGGUCCCUAAGGCGAGGCUGAAAAGCGUAGUCGAUGGAAAACAGGUUAAUAUUCCUGUACUUCCAGUUAUUGCGAUGGAGGGACGGAGAAGGUUAGGCCAGCCUGGCGUUGGUUGUCCAGGUUUAAGGUGGUAGGCUGAAAUCUUAGGCAAAUCCGGGAUUUCAAGGCCGAGAGCUGAUGACGAGUUGCCUUCAGGCGACGAAGUGGUUGAUACCAUGCUUCCAAGAAAAGCUCCUAAGCUUCAGAUAACUGGGAACCGUACCCCAAACCGACACAGGUGGUUAGGUAGAGAAUACCAAGGCGCUUGAGAGAACUCGGGUGAAGGAACUAGGCAAAAUGGCACCGUAACUUCGGGAGAAGGUGCGCCGGCGAGGGUUAAGGACUUGCUCCGUAAGCCCAUGCCGGUCGAAGAUACCAGGCCGCUGCGACUGUUUAUUAAAAACACAGCACUCUGCAAACACGAAAGUGGACGUAUAGGGUGUGACGCCUGCCCGGUGCCGGAAGGUUAAUUGAUGGGGUUAGCGCAAGCGAAGCUCUUGAUCGAAGCCCCGGUAAACGGCGGCCGUAACUAUAACGGUCCUAAGGUAGCGAAAUUCCUUGUCGGGUAAGUUCCGACCUGCACGAAUGGCGUAACGAUGGCGGCGCUGUCUCCACCCGAGACUCAGUGAAAUUGAAAUCGCUGUGAAGAUGCAGUGUAUCCGCGGCUAGACGGAAAGACCCCGUGAACCUUUACUAUAGCUUUGCACUGGACUUUGAAUUUGCUUGUGUAGGAUAGGUGGGAGGCUUUGAAGUGGGGACGCCAGUUCUCAUGGAGCCAUCCUUGAAAUACCACCCUGGCAACUUUGAGGUUCUAACUCAGGUCCGUUAUCCGGAUCGAGGACAGUGUAUGGUGGGUAGUUUGACUGGGGCGGUCUCCUCCCAAAGAGUAACGGAGGAGUACGAAGGUGCGCUCAGACCGGUCGGAAAUCGGUCGUAGAGUAUAAAGGCAAAAGCGCGCUUGACUGCGAGACAAACACGUCGAGCAGGUACGAAAGUAGGUCUUAGUGAUCCGGUGGUUCUGUAUGGAAGGGCCAUCGCUCAACGGAUAAAAGGUACUCCGGGGAUAACAGGCUGAUACCGCCCAAGAGUUCAUAUCGACGGCGGUGUUUGGCACCUCGAUGUC